GCCAACCUUGCUCUACCGUUUCGGUCUUCUUUUUCUUUUUUUUUGAGCCGAGGACGAGGACGUUUUUUGAUUUUUGAAUUGAUUUUUGAUUUUGAUUGAAUUGAAUUUAUUUUGAUUUUGAUUUUUGAUUUGACACCUGACACCUUGAAAAUUUUAAAUUAUUUUCAUUUCUAUUUCAUGCAUAUACAUAUUAUAUUACAUUUAUCAUAUUAUAAAUUAUAUUUUACAUUCACUACACAAGUAAAAUUAUUUAUUAAUCUUUGUUUUGUACUUCUACUUUCUAGUUUCUUUUUGGUGUGGAAUGUGGAUUUAUAUGGAUUGGAUGGAAUAUAGAAAUUAUAUUGGAAGGACGACUUUGGAAUGAAUCGAAUUGGUAUCGAUAUUCGAUAUCACUCACAAAUUGGCGAACAGGCGAAGUAGCAGAGACAGACAGACAGACAGACAAGAACAGGGAACAGACCCAUUUUGGACCCAAGCCAAGCCAAGACUACAGUAUCCUAGCCAGUAGCCACCUUACCCUUAGCCAGGAUCAAUUUUUAUGCUCUGGAAACUUGGAAUGUAAAUAAAAAUGGAAAAUCUUCACAAUUCUGUGGAAUUUCAAUAAUAAUUUCUUGCAAUGCCCCUAGAAACACGAUAAUAAAAACUCAUAUGAUCAUCAAUUCAAUUUACUAGAUGCCCGCAUAUAGGUAUCAUAUAGUAUGAGAGUGAGACGAAAAAUUGAAUGUUUUUUUAUGCCUAUGGCUGUAUCUGAAUCUGAUAUCUGUCAGCUGUCUGUAUUAAUGAAAACUUUUAAUUCGCUUCAAAAUAGUAAAAUUUGUUAUGCUGAUUGCUGACUGUAUCCAAAAUUUUCUAGUGAUGGGUUGUUUUUUUAUUAUUAUUAUUUGAAACUAGAAAAUAUUGCAGAAAAAUCAUGAAAUUAUGAAUAAUGUAUUCGUUUCGUAAGUUCUUACAACAUCUUAAUAGAGAAUGAAGACUUCGACGUUGGGUUGGAUGAAAUCAGAAAUACUCCGCAAAUGAAACGAAACAGUCAGUAGCUCACGCCAUCAGCAGUUAGCACCGCAAUGAUGUCUCACUAAACUGAGUGUCCCUAAUUACCUUUGACUGAAUAUUAUAUUCAUUAAAAUUUGUUAUGAUUUUUUCCUAUAUUUUAACGGACAGGUAUAUUCAUUUUCAAAUCACAUCUAAUGUUUGCCAUUUUGUUUUCCAUUAUUACAACGGACUUCUGGCAUUUUUAUUUGAGGAAGAAAAUGCUGCCUUUUCAUUGCUUUAAACUGUUUCGAGUAAUUUAUUAGAGUUGCUUUUGAACAUGUAUAGGCUUACCCGGCUCACGUAUACCUACAUAUUAUUUUGUAAUAUUAAAUGAGUAAUGAAGUAAUUUGUUACAGGUACCUAGAUAAAUAAGUUGAUAGGUAGGUACCAAUUGAUUUUCCAAACAGUCGAAAAAGAAUUUAAAAAUCACGCGCCAAAUUUUAUUUAUUAUUAGAAAGUGACACUGAGUUUACAUUUUAUCUGCUUUCUUUCUAAAUGUAGCUAGGUAUUUUAAAUUAAAUCUGCUAAUAGUUGUUUAUGACAAAUAAGAGAAGGGAUUUUCGGAGAUUUUUAUUACUUAGUAAAAUGAAAAUUAAAAAUCUACUUCACGUUUUUAAUACACAAAUUACAAUAAAAAGAACGUUUCGGAAAUUGUAGUAGGUACCUUCCAUCUUUAGCUAUUAAAGUAAUAAUAAGUAAAUCCUUCCUCAUUUCAAAAUUCCUCAAAAAAAAUUACAGAUAGCUAGAAUUUUAAAAGUUUCAACUAUGUGGAAGAAAAUGAAGGAGCCAAACAGAAUAGAUAUGUACCUUACCUACUCAUAUGUAUGAUUAAUAGUAGAACAUUUUUGUCAUUUUAUAUAAAUUUCUUCUCGUCUUCUAAAAUCAUGUACCAAAUUUUAAAAAAAUCAAUAAUUUUCCAAAAAUUCAAAUCGUUUUUCUUCAUUUUUUGAACUACUUUCUCAUAUCUGUUGGUCAUUUUUUUUUGUUUUUUUUUAAAAAUUUUAAAAUGAAGUAAAAAGAUACUCCAUCUAUUAAUUUUACAACGCGUUAUGUAAAUUCUAAUCACGUAAUCUCUGGGAUGAGUAGGUAUUGUAAAUAUAGUGGUGCAAAACGCAAAAGCAACAUAAGUGAAUGAAUAGGGACUUUUCAUAAGUUGUAUUUUUAUAGUGACAACAUUGAUGAGUGCAGUUCCGUCCCGUCCUCCUGUCAAUGUUGAUUUCAAUACGGCGGAUGAUGGAACAUGAAUAGGUAGGUAUCUACCGUUCAGUUUUUUUCGUGAUCAAUCUUCAAUUAUUAGUCGUUUCUACGGGGAAAAAGGCGUAUUGUUGUUUGAACGUUGGUGCUAAUAGUUGUACAAGUAUUCGAGCAAGACUCAGAGUGAUCCUUUACACUUUAUCCAUAAUUAACGUCGUUUCAUUACCACACCUAGAUAUAAAAUAGCAGAAAAAUAUUCACCAUGUCCACACCUAACGAAAGUGCAAAUAAUGGGACAGAAUCACCUCAUCCGCACAAUUGGCGAUUUAUGAUAGAUCGGGUUUGGAAUGGAUUUAAAGCAUCGAUUAUAUCCUGUUGUUGGAUGAGAUCCGUAGCUCCAACCCUUCCAACGAAGAAAGAAAUCGAUUGCAGAAAACUUUUUUGGGAAGGAUUCGAUGGAUUUUACAUUUUAUUUAACAUGGUUAUCGUCUCAUUAAUUUUAAAUCUCUACUGGAAUUCGUAUCCAAGUUAUGUUCGUCCGGACGAUCCGAAAUCAACUUAUUUCACCAUUCGAGAGUGUGAGUUGGAUGACAACAGGCCCGAACUCGAACGUGAUUGCUAUUUGAAUAGGUACCUCUCAUUUGUUUACUGAUGAAAGGAUAAACGGUUUCGUCGAGAAUUUACAUUCGAUUAUUUUGCGCGAAGGUUGCAGAGAAGGUCUAAUAGAUAAGUACAAUUUAGCAGCGACUUUUAACAUUAAUAAUUACCAUCCAAUAAUUAGUGAUUUAGUCGUUAUGAACCAUUUAAUCUACAAACAGGAGUUUGACGCGAAAGAUAUAAAGGAGGCUGUCUUGUUCGUUCGAACACUUAAAAAUUUCUUGAAAAAUUACCCUACCGAUACAGUUCAAGCAUCUAAUGACGGUUUUCUUUAUAUAAAUGAUUCGUUAACCGGCGUUUGGUGGCAUAGCAGACCAUAUCGAAUGUGGUACCAACGUGUAGAUCUCGCCGAGACGAUCACAACGCGCUACCUACAAGCCCCUCUAUCUAUUCAUGGAAAGAAACUACGAGCGUCUAAAGUUUACCAAAUGAGCAAAAAAUGAAAAAUUGUCAAAAUUAAAAAUUCGACCUGGGGAGCUUGUAGAGCAUUCUUUUAGCUAAAAAUUGCAAUUUUUGGCAUUGGCCUACCUUCAUUUUUGAAGAAUUUAUGCAACUUUGAAGUUUUGAAACAGAUCAAUUUGAGUAAAAUUUCCCCAAAAAAAAUUUCAUCAAAUUUUACUCAAAUUGAUCUGUUUCAAAACUUCAAAGUUGCAUAAAUUCUUCAAAAAUGAAGGUAGGCCAAUGCCAAAAAAUGCAAUUUUUAGCUAAAAGAAUGCUCUACAAGCUCCCCAGAUCGAAUUUUUCAUUUUGACAAUUUUUCAUUUUUUGCUCAUUUGGUAAACUUUAGACGCUCGUAGUUUCUCUCCAUGAAUAGAUAGAGGGGCUUGUAGGUAGCGCGUUGUGAUCGUCUCGGCGAGAUCUACACGUUGGUACCACAUUCGAUAUGGUUUGCUAUGCCACCAAGCGCCGGUUAAUGGAGUAUUGCGGCUAUAAUCUGCGCCCUUUCAAGUAUAUAUUUUAUCAUUUUUUACCAGGGUGUUUUUUUACCUAUUUUAUAAUUGUAAUUUGUAGAGCGCUAGUACGGUGUCUGUGGCAGAAAUGUAAAUGUUGUUGUAAAUGCUGUCGUCAUGAAAGGACCGCUCAACUUCCUACCGAAAAUAUUUGACAAUAAUCAGCAUAAAUGACUGCAAGUCGUAAUCUUGUCUCAACAUGUAUUGUUUUUCCUAGCUUGCAUGUAUUGAUCGAUUUAUUUUUGUAAUUUUACUCUGCAACGAAAUUGAUUAGGCAGGCCUACACAUUGUAUAUUUUGACCUAGCUACAUAUUUAUUUAUUAUGAAGUAUACGUAAUUUAUUCACACGUUGCAAAAUAGUCCUACGUUUUUUCGUGCCAUUUAAAUUAGAUAAGUACUUACUUAAUUAUAGCGUUAACAAAUACCUAUUUAUUGACUAAUCCCUUCUCGUUUUAUGAUUUAAAGUUUCCUUGUGUAUAUUGAAAAUUAAAUUGGUACAAAGUUU